rnacentral:tRNA from 1 species
CGGGAUGUAGUAUAAAGGUUCGUACGCAAGGCUGGGGGUCUUGUAGUCCGGGUUCAAUUCCCGGCAUCCCGA